rnacentral:rRNA from 1 species
UACAGAGGUCUCAAGCGUUGUUCGGAUUCAUUGGGCGUAAAGGGUGCGUAGGUGGCGCGGUAAGUCGGGUGUGAAAUCUCGGAGCUUAACUCCGAAAUUGCAUUCGAUACUGCCGUGCUUGAGGACUGGAGAGGAGACUGGAAUUCAUGGUGUAGCAGUGAAAUGCGUAGAGAUCAUGAGGAAGACCGGUGGCGAAGGCGGGUCUCUGGGCCGUAAACUGGACGCUGAGGAGCGAAAGCGUGGGGAGCGAACAGG